rnacentral:lncRNA from 1 species
CACCUGUGUCCAUGCAUUGCAAGGUGGACCCCUAACCACUGGACCACCAGGGAAGUCCCUGCUAUCAUUCUUAUUUUUAUGUUCCCAGUAUCUAGGACAGUGUUGGCACUCAACAAAUGUGCACUGAAAAGAGAAGAGGAAAAAGAAUAACAAUCAGCAGUUAUUCAAGCUUUCCUGAUCAAAGUCUACUCCAUCUAAAUCUACUCCCAUCGCAGGAUACCCCAGAGCGACUCUACCCUACUGGAAGGAAGCUGGCCUCCUCCUAUAGAUGCUGGGCGGCGCUCCGGAGCUCGCAACUUAGGAAGGAAGCUGCUAUCUUCCAUCUCGGACACCAGGUGGCACCAAAUCACAAGCAUAACGCCAAAGAAAACUGGCAGGAAAUGGACCUUGAGAGUCCUUGAACUAUUUUUCUCCCUCCCUAUUCCCCACAUGGAAUUGAAAAAUAAGAAACCUUUCAGAUAUGGUGGAUAAUUCUAAUUCAGUAAAAACACUUUAAUCUUCCAGCGGAAGGUUCCUAGGAUUUAAAUGCAGCCUUAGUCCCCACCCUUCCCGGAGACCUAGUUCUCAGCAGCAGAUAAGGAAAAUGGUGACUUUCCUGGAAUCAUUUCAGAUGCCUCCACCCUCCAGAAGAGUUGUUUUUCUCCCAGGUGGUAAGCUGAGAAGUAGCAGACACCAGACUUCAGAGGCUCUACUCAAAUCCUGGGCCCCCUUCUGAAGGGCCAAGUGCUCUGUCAUGUGUGUGCUAGGAAAUGACCAUGUCUAAACAAGUUGUAAUGUGGCCAACCAGCCUCAUGGCCUCUUGCAUCCAAACAGGACCACUUCCAGCCCCCACAAAUACACUCCAUAAGUCCCCAUUCCCAGGUUCCUCCACCUGGAAUGCUGUCCUCUUUCAGCCAUUUCUGUCAGAUCCAAGCUACGCGUUGAGGUGCAGAUGGAAAUCCAUGAAGCCUUCCUUCAUUUCCCCCAGUCUGAAGGGACCUCUGCUUUUCUAAAUUACCAUAGUAACUUGUGCCAUUUGCUCUAUUUGUUGUUCAGUUGCUAAGUCGUGUCCAGCUCUUUGUGACCCCAUACUGCAGCACCCCAGACUUUUCUCUCCUUCACUAUCU